rnacentral:lncRNA from 1 species
GGGUAAAUUGCUUCUGUUCAGAAAGCCUGCUCUUUCCUCAGCACUCCCCAUCCACCUCACUCCCUUUUCCUCCCAUUUUUGCCUUCUGAUUAUUCAAAGGCACAUGAAUUAUCUGUGCCUUGUAGUCAUGGGACCUGCUGGCUACUUUCACUCAAAUCACCACAGGAAAAGCAGCCACCUGCAUGCCUUAAAAGCAAGACUACUCCCCAGGAUUUUGUUUCCUGAAAACUGCUUUGGUAAGUAGCCAUGAAUUUAAG